AAGCUUUUAUAUUUGUAAUUUCCCCUGUCAUAUAAUACAAACUGACUCCGAGAAGAAUAUUUUUAAUGCUGGGGGUGGUUUACAAGUUCUCUGAACGCUCUCAUGGAUUUGGUUUUGUGAUUUCUGAUGAGAAGCAAGCAAUGGGUGAGGCUAUUGAGGCUAUCAAUGGGAUGGACUUGGAUGGGAGAAAUCAUUGAGGAAAAAGCUCAGCCUCAAGGUUCACGUUGAGACCAAGACGGUGAUCGCAGUUCUGAUCGUGGCCCUAAUAGGGAUAGUGGCACUCAAGGAGGAUCAGGAAAUGACUGCUGAAUCAGGACCAUUCUGGUCCCUAUGAACAUUGUGGUACAGGAAACUUCCGUACGGGCUAGAAAGAAUAUUCCUGAUAGUGCAAUUGGAGGUACUGCUGUUACUUGCUGGAGCUAAAGUCCCUUCUGUUGCAUCUCUUUUUUAUUGUUCUCUGGGUGGACAAAUCUGCUUGAUCAGUCUUUUAAUGUGCAAACUUUGGCUAAAAGAUUCAACUGUUCAAUGUCCGUGAAUGCUCGUUUUGAUACUUUGGUCUGACGACAUUGCUUGCUUGACUUAAACAAUCAAAUUUAGCCUUAAUCUGUCAA